GUCUAUGGUCAUGCUACCCUGAACAAGCCCAAUCCCAUCUGAUCUCGGAAGCUAAACAGGGUUAGGCCUGGUUAGUACUUGGAUGGGAGAUCACCUAGGAAGAUAAAGUGCUGUAGGCG
rnacentral:rRNA from 1 species